CCGCCACGCUCCCCCUUCGGCGCUCACCCUAACCCACCGACAACCGCCCUCCUACCCCAGAUCUCCGACCGCCCUCCUCGUCCUCGUCCACCGCCGCGGCCAACAACUUAAAAUUCUCCUGCGUUGCAUCCAGCCCCCCUCUUCCAGUUGCAACACUUAAGGUUGUGACAGUGGGUCAGAGAGUGUUAUUUGAAUUAUGUGGAGCAAACUAUAUCUUUACAGUUAAUCAGGCUAUGGUUGAAGGUGCUGAUAAAUCUAAAGGUUUGGAGAGAGGAAGUAUUACUCCUGAUACAUACAUUGUUUUUGAAACUAUUCCAAAUUCUGGGAUUAAGGUACCAUCUAUUUUCUUUCUUUUUAUUCACCAUGUGGUGUUUCUUAUCUUCUGGAUUAAAAGGUUGUUUUAUUCCCCCUGCAAAUUCUCUAUUAUACUAGAUAGUGCUGAUCCUUUGUGAUGGUAACUUCAAUAUUUAUUGUAAUGUGUCUUUCUGCAGGUAAUUAAUCAACGUGAAGCUGCUAACGACAAUAUUUUCUGACAGAAAGAGUUUAACCUUCAGAAGCUGGGGAUAGGAGGACUAAGUGAGGAAUUCACUGACAUCUUCAGAAGGGCAUUUGCUUCUCGAGUUUUCUGACAGAAUUGGGGAUAGAAGUUUUUGCUGCAUAUAUGUGAUAAUGACUGAUGGUCAUAUACUGCAGAUUGGGUAUCAAGCAUGUCAAGGGAAUGCUGCUUUAUGGGCUCCAGGUACCGGCAAAACCCUUAUGGCUCGAUCGUCAAUAGGGAAACUAUUAAAUGGGAAGGAACCAAAGUUUUGUAUUAUUAUUUCCACUAGUUUGUCUCAUAAAGCUGUUAGUUGUUCGCUGUUACUUGCUUGCAGUGAAAAUUAGUUCUACAAUUUUCUGUAUAGCAAAAACUAGUAUAUAGAAGGUUAAUGAAUUCAUUUUAUGGCUUAAGAAUUUACCCAUCAUUAGAAUUUACGUGUAGUACUAUUUUAGUGCUAUGCUGAAGCUUGUAUCAAUAUUUUUUGGUAUC